rnacentral:rRNA from 1 species
UACGUAGGGGGCAAGCGUUGUCCGGAUUUAUUGGGCGGAAAGAGCGUGUAGGCGGUUUGGUAGGUCCGCUGUGAAAACUCGAGGCUCAACUUCGAGACGCCGGUGGAAACCAUCAGACUAGAGUCCGGAAGAGGAGAGUGGAAUUCCUGGUGUAGCGGUGAAAUGCGCAGAUAUCAGGAAGAACACCCGUGGCUAAGGCGGCUCUCUAGUACGGUACUGACGCUGAGACGCGAAAGCGUGGGGAGCGAACAGG